rnacentral:rRNA from 1 species
GUAGGUGGCAAGCGUUGUCCGGAAUUAUUGGGCGUAAAGCGCGCGCAGGCGGUCCUUUAAGUCUGAUGUGAAAGCCCACGGCUCAACCGUGGAGGGUCAUUGGAAACUGGGGGACUUGAGUACAGAAGAGGAAAGCGGAAUUCCAAGUGUAGCGGUGAAAUGCGUAGAGAUUUGGAGGAACACCAGUGGCGAAGGCGGCUUUCUGGUCUGUAACUGACGCUGAGGCGCGAAAGCGUGGGGAGCAAACAGGAUUAGAUACCCUGGUAGUCCACGCCGUAAACGAUGAGUGCUAAGUGUUAGGGGGUUUCCCGCCCCCUUAGUGCUGCAGCCAACGCAUUAAGCACUCCGCCUGGGGAGUACGGCCGCAAGGCUG